AUUUCUCCUCUCCUCUCCUUCAAAAAAGCCCUGAAUCCUCUCUCCCUCUCUCGGUCUGUUGGCCCAAAAGCCAGCGAGGUGCAGGCCAAGCGCCGCCGUGCCGUCCACCGUGCACGGUGGCCGGAGAUCGAAAAAGGUGUUUGUGGCGCGGAUUCGAUCUGUCGAUAGGAGCAGAGGCGGUGGUGGAUGGGACAGGGGCAAGUGGCUGAACGGCUAGGGUUUUAGGUUUUCCUUUAUUUUUCUUUAAUGUAUUGGGCUAGGGGCCAAACGGGCUUGUACAAUAAUUUUAAUGAAUAACCAUUAAUAUUAUGGCAAAAUAA